CCUACGGGAGACAGCAGUGAGGAAUAUUGGUCAAUGGACGAGAGUCUGAACCAGCCAAGUAGCGUGAAGGAUGACUGCCCUAUGGGUUGUAAACUUCUUUUAUAUGGGAAUAAAAUGUUCCACGUGUGGGAUUUUGUAUGUACCAUAUGAAUAAGGAUCGGCUAACUCCGUGCCAGCAGCCGCGGUAAUACGGAGGAUCCGAGCGUUAUCCGGAUUUAUUGGGUUUAAAGGGAGCGUAGGUGGAUUGUUAAGUCAGUUGUGAAAGUUUGCGGCUCAACCGUAAAAUUGCAGUUGAAAAUGGCAGGCUUGAGUACAGUAGAGGUGGGCGGAAUUCGUGGUGUAGCGGUGAAAUGCUUAGAUAUCACGAAGAACUCCGAUUGCGAAGGCAGCUCACUGGACUGCAACUGACACUGAGGCUCGAAAGUGUGGGUAUCAAACAGGAUUAGAUACCCCUGUAGUC
rnacentral:rRNA from 1 species